rnacentral:rRNA from 1 species
UCAGGAAUAUUGGACAAUGGAUGGAAAUCUGAUCCAGCCAUGCCGCGUGCAGGAAGACGGCCCUAUGGGUUGUAAACUGCUUUUGUAUGGGAGCAAUAAGGACUACGUGUAGUUUGAUGAGAGUACCAUACGAAUAAGCAUCGGCUAACUCCGUGCCAGCAGCCGCGGUAAUACGGAGGAUGCGAGCGUUAUCCGGAUUUAUUGGGUUUAAAGGGUGCGUAGGCGGCGAUAUAAGUCAGUGGCGAAAUAUUUCGGCUUAACCGAGAGACUGCCAUUGAUACUGUGUUGCUAGAAUAUGGUUGCUGUGAGUGGAAUGUGUGGUGUAGCGGUGAAAUGCUUAGAUAUCACACAGAAUAUCGAUUGCGAAGGCAGCUCACAAAGCCAUUAUUGACGCUGAGGCACGAAAGUGUGGGGAUCAAACA